CGAUUCCGUAAGUAGUGGCGAGCGAAAGCGGAUGGAGCCCAAACCGAAGGUAUUCCUUCGGGGUUGUAGGACCACGUCAUAUUCGACCAUACUGGAUAGUAGAACAGCCUGGAAAGGCUGGCCGGAGAAGGUGAAAGCCCUGUAGACGAAAUCCAGAGUGGGAAUUAGUGGUAUCCUGAGUAAUACAUCACACGUGGAACGAUGUAUGAACCCGCGCGGACCACCGCGCAAGGCUAAAUACUAGUUGGCGACCGAUAGUGAACAAGUACCGCGAGGGAAAGGUGAAAAGAACCGCUGUGAGCGGAGUGAAAUAGAACCUGAAACCGUAUGUCUACAAAGUGUCAGAGCAGAGCAAUCUGCGAUGGCGUGCCUUUUGUUUAAUGAGUCUGCGAGUCAGUGUUUGUGGCAAGACUAAGGGCUUCCGGCCCGGAGUCGCAGCGAAAGCAAGUCCGAACAGGGCGCAAUAAGUCGCAGGUACUGGACCCGAAGCGGAGGUGACCUACCCUUGGCCAGGUUGAAGCAUGGGUAAAACCAUGUGGAGGACCGAACAGGUGAACGUUGAAAAGUUCUCUGAUGAGCUGAGGGUAGGAGUGAAAGGCUAAUCAAACCCCGUGAUAGCUGGUUCUCUUCGAAAUGCAUUUAGGUGCAGCGUCACGUGCUGAUGCGCGGGGGUAGAGCACUGACAAGGCUAGGGGGCACACCCGCUUACCAAACCUUAUCAAACUCCGAAUACCGUGCAAUGGAACGUGGCAGUGAGACAGUGGGGGAUAAGCUUCAUUGUCGAGAGGGAAACAACCCAGACCAGCAGCUAAGGUGCCUAAAUAACGCUCAGUGGAAAGGAUGUGGGAUUACACAGACAGUGAGGAUGUUGGCUUAGAAGCAGCCACCAUUUAAAAAAUGCGUAAUAGCUUACUCAUCGAGUGAUCCUGCGCCGAAAAUGAUUGGCGAUCAAGCGUUAUACCGAAGCUCUGGACUUUGCCGCAAGGCAGAGUGGUAGAAGAGCGUUGCAUGCGCGUCGAAGGGCGAUGGCGACUGACCCUGGAGCACAUGCAAGUGAGUAUGCAGACAUGAGUAACGUUAAGCCGGGUGAAAUCCCCGGCCGCCGUAAACCCGAGGUUUCCAGGGCAACGUGUUUCGUCCCUGGGUUAGCCGGGACCUAAGCCGAGGCCGAGAGGCGUAGGCGAUGGACAUCAGGUUAAUAAUCCUGAGCUCGCAACCCUUAAACUGGGGGGACGCAUGAGAAAAGAUGACUAGGUUAUUGAAUUCCGAGUUGAGUCCACGGACUCAGCGCAUCAUUGGAUCGAGUGCCAAGAAAAGCCCCAGCGUAUGCUAAGCGACCCGUACCGCAAACCGACACAGGUGGGUGGGUAGAAUAUACCAAGGCGUAAGAGUGAAACCUGGUUAAGGAACUCGGCAAAUUAGCCCCGUAACUUCGGAAGAAGGGGUGCCUGCAGCGAUGCAGGCCGCAGAGAAAUGGCCCAACCGACUGUUUAUCAAAAACACAGCACUCUGCAAAGACGCAAGUCGAAGUAUAGGGUGUGACACGUGACCAAUGCCGAAAGAUUAAGGCAAGGGGUUAGCCGCAAGGCGAAGCUCUAAACCCAAGUCCCGGUGAAUGUCGGCCGUAACUAUAACGGUCCUAAGGUAGCGAAAUUCCUUGUCGGGUAAGUUCCG
rnacentral:rRNA from 1 species